UAUGGAGGGGCUAUAUACAAACAUUGCUGGUAAUAUAAAAGUAAAAUAGAAUGGUGUUGAUGAUAUAGGUUGAGUAUAAUUAAUAGAAAUCAAAAAUUUUUAAUUGUAAGAAAUCAAGGAAUGUUAUGGUACAUAGUGGAUUAAAAGAAAAGAAAAUGCGCCUAAAUGAAUUCUACUUGAGUUAAGAAAUGAAUUCGAGGGGGUUCUAUUUAGGCUUUGAAAUCAAAAUAAAAAUAAUAUAAAAAUAGUUGAAUGAAAUCAAAAUUGAAUGUGUUUGGUUGAAUGGUGAGAAAAAAAAAAGAAAAAUGCCUAACCAUAUUCUAGCUCGAAAUUGGGAAUGAAAUCGAAGGAAUUCUAUUAGGUCUUUUGAGAAAUCAAAAAUAAAAAAAAUAAAAAGUUGGAAGAAAUCAAAGUGAAUGCUUGGUGCGUGGUGAAAAAAAAAGGAAAAAUGCCUAAUUACUUUUUUGCUUGAAUUUUGGAAAGGAAUUCGAGGAAAUUUCAUAAGGUCUUUUGAGAAAUCAAAGUAAAAUAAAAAUAAAAAGUUGGAAGAAAUCAAAGUGAAUGCUUGGUGCGUGGUGAGAAAAAAAAGGAAAAAUGCCUAAUUAUAUUCUAGCUCGGAAUUGGGAAUGGAGACCGAGGGAAUUCUAUUAGGUCUUUUGAGAAAUCAAAAAUAAAAAUAAAAUAAAAGUUUUUUGAGCGAAAUCAAAGUAGAGUGCUUGGAAAAAAGAAAAAUGAAAAAUAAAAAGAUUUCAACAACAAAGGGUGAUUUAAUGUUUUUAGUUUAAUCGAAAGUCAGUGAGUUUUCGUUGAUAAUUGAGUUGUGGCAAUAUAAGUCAAGUGGUAAAUAGAAUGAUAAUUGAUAAAUGAAAAUGAUAAUAUAACUAAUUGGAAAAAAAAUGAUAAUUAAUGAUUAAAAGUGGUAAUAAGUUGAAUAAAUUGAUAAAUUGAUUAAAUAUUUAAAUUUUAAUUGAGAGAAAAUAAUGAAAAUGAUUGAUAUGAAAAAUAAGGUGUAUUGGUUGGAACCCUUUGGUAUCUACAUGCCCUGAUCUACAUGUAUUGAUUGCUCCAUUUUGCCCUAUAAAUGUUUUACUUGCUCAAUUAUGCCCUAUAAAUUUUUUGUCUCAUCUGUAGUGACACUUAGGUGAAAAACGUGAUUCUAGCCCUCAAGUGCGUUUAUGCUGUGUGUACAGGAGACAUGGAAAUCUAUAUAACCUUUAUGUGUAAUUUUUUGUCUUUGUGUGUGUGUUGUGAAAAAUGUUAGAAGUCGGUUGUGUAAGAGAUGUGUGAGCUAGUUCUAGGUGUUGUUUCGUGGAUGUGUAAUUGGUUGGUAAAAAUCGAUAUGUAGACUCGAACUGGAAUCAAAACCGGUGGCAUAGUGAGGUUCCCAGUCGACCUCAAUAGGGGAUCUUCUCAUUGUAAUUAGAGAUACGGAAGUGGGGUGUGUCGGGCAAACGAGAGGGAAUGAAAUUGGAGAUCGGACGAAGGCGUUCCGCUUUGUUUACAGAGGCCGAAUUUAACCUCCGCGGACUAUACUUCCUGUCGUGGUGUUUCAAAUCUCAUUUCCUGCCGUCUAUUUAUUUUUGGUGCGGCUCGGGGCUUGUUUUUGGAGUACGGCUUCUCCGACAUCGGUUGGUCAUUUUUUCAGUUACUGCUAUCUCUUCGGAGUUUAUUUAGAUUUUCUGCGAAGAUGGUUCCUAAAAUUAUGAGAAGUUUUAUAAAUACUUGUCCACAAUGAAGAAUUGCUUGUCCACAAUGAAGAAUUGCUUGUCCACAAUGAAAAACUGUUUGUCCAAAAUUAAAAAAUGCUUGUCCUAAAUUAAAAACUACCUCUUGUAGUUCGAAGAUUUUCUGAUCGGGCAUAGCAUAGAUAAACAAGUAUUUAAUGAACAAAAUUGGGAUACAGUUGUAUGGCAGAAGUAACAAACAAAGGAUAAGAAUCAGAUGAAAUAUAGGAUAUUGCCCCAUGUUCGUCCACAUUUUUGUAACUGGGGACUCUGAAAUAUUCGCUUGAACCUUAUGAAUUGUAGAGUUUGAAUGAUUGGUAGGUUCGCAGUUCUCCUGUUUGAUAUCUUUAGGGAGUGGUGUGAUAGGAUUGAGCUGGUUGUCAGGUUUGCAGUUUUUAACGUCGGGGAAGAGUGAUGUAAAUCGUCUUGUUGCAAAAAUGGCAGGGUCUAAAUGCCUGAAAGGUUCGCUGCUGGUGGGUUUGAACCUUAAUGACUCUGUUGGGAAUAAUUCGGGUGUUAAAUGUUUGAAAGGGAACGUGUAAUUGGGGUUGUGUUUUAUAUGAUAGGUGUUAACGGCGGGUGGUGAUAUAUAAUGGAUUUUUUCUGUAUACAGUUUAAGUUUGUUGACGUGGAUUGUGUCAGUGUCUCUUUGAAGUGGUUGAUUUGGUCGAUCUAUGCGGACCACAUUUGGUGAAAUAAUUUCUAAUAUUGUGUGAGGUCCUGUGAAAUAUGGCGCAAGUUUCCCUGUAUUUGGGUGGUGAUAUAAUUUUACGAAUACUAGAUCACCUACUUCGAAAUGUGGUUGCUUGUGUCGUUUGUCAUAAGUGUUUUUGUCUUGUAAAUGUUUGUUUUGUGUGCGUGUGUGUGCAAUUUUUCUAGCUUUGUCGAUAUCUGGGUAUGGUGUGUUAUGAUUAGAGAUUUCUGGGGGUAGGAUACCAAACAUUAAGUAUAUGGGUGGAAAACCUGUGGUAGAGUGGGGUGUCUUGUUAUAUAUAAGUGUAACCUUCUUGACCAACUUGGUCCAUGCGACCUUAGGAUUUUCUAGGUGUAAUAACCUAAGUUUUCCCGUGAGGGUGGCGUUUAGGCGUUCACAUAGACCGUUGGCCUGUGGAUUGUUGCUGGUUGUGAGCAAUGGGUGAAUAUUUCUAUUAAGUAGAAAACUACGAAAUUUGGGUGAAGUGAAGGCAGGGGCUCUAUCCGUAAGAAGGCGUUUUGGAGAACCAUCCUGGAAUACUCGUUUAAGUACCUGUUGGUAGGUGGUGGUACUGGUGGAUUUAGAUGGAAAAGCCCACGCGUAGCGUGAAAAAUGAUCGACUACCACAUGGAGGUAUAUCUUGGUGUUGCCAUAUUUGGCAAAUCCUGCUAUGGUGUCCAGAGAUAAAAGGUCGAAGGGUUCUUUAGAUUCCGGAGGUUGACUUAAUUCUCCGUAAGUGGGUCCUACUGGACGUUUUGUUAAUUGGCAGGUGGGACAGGUCUUAACUUUUUGUUUAAUAUCUUUUGACAUACCUUGCCAGUAAUAUUGUGUGGAGAUGAUUCGUGACAUUUGUGAAAUACCGGGGUGAUUGUAUUGUGUGUGUACUGUUUGUAAGAGUUGUUGUAUGAGUGGUUUUGGAAGUAUAAUCUUGGUUACACCUUUUCGGGAAACUGUAUGUAAUCCAUUACGAUCAAUGGUCAAACUAGACUCUUUCGAUGGAGGAGGUUGAUGGGUCUUGAUAAGGGUGGCGUCCAAGAAUCCACAAAACGGGUUACGGGAUAAGAGAUCUGCUUCAUAUUGUAGUUUUCCCUUUAUGUAGCGGACCUCGUAUUCGUAACUCGAUAGUCGUAAACUCCAUCGAAACAGUCUGCCGGACGGGUUUUUGAUGGUUUUCAGCCACUGCAAUGCGUGAUGGUCAGAGAAUAUAGUAAAUUUUCUGCCCAUAAGAUAGAUGCGAAACUUCUCCACACUCUCAACGAUUGCUAAGCACUCAAGUUCAGAGAUGGAGUAGUUUUUCUCGUGUGGGCGCAAUGUUCGGCUGAAAUAUUGAACUGGGUAUACGUUUCCGUCAGGGUGAACUUGUUUGAGAAUGCCUGCUAUACCGAGGGUGGAUGCAUCGCAAUACACUUGGCAUGGCAGACCUUCUUUGUAAAGGUGUAAAAUGGGGUGUUGUGUGAGGUUUCCUUUUAGGUCAAUGAACGCCUCUUGACAAGCUUCAUUCCAGUUCCACACGACGUCCUUUUUGAGGAGAUUGUUGAGUGGUGCUCGCAAGCGAGCGUAUUCCAGAAUGAAUUUGUUAUAGACGUUCACAGCGCCUAAGAAGGAUUGUAGUGUUUUUCGGUUGUGUGGUUGUUUAAUGGCGUGGAUGAUGUCGGUAUUGCGUGUAAGUGGUGUAAUUGUACCAGCUGUGAUGGUGUAACCUAGAAAAUUUAUGGAUUGUUUAAAAAAUUCGCAUUUUGCGAAGUUAAGUUGUAACUUCUCCGCUUCGCAAAAGGCGAAAAAUUGUCGCAGGUGGUUUUGAUGUUCCUCCAAUGUGUUGGAGUAAAUGAUGAAAUCAUCAAAGUAAUGUGCCACACAGUCAAGUCCGUGUCUUUGUAGGACCUGACUUAUGGCUCGUUCGUAAAUCUGAGGACUGGUUUUUAACCCAAAAGGUAAUCGAGUGGGUUGGUAUAAUCCUUCAAAGGUGGCAAAUGCUAACAGUGGUCGAGAAUCGGGGUGUAUUGGGACUUGCCAAUACGCAGAGGAUAUGUCGGCCGUGGAAAAAUAUUUGGCCUGUGCGAGGCGGUCUAGGAUAUCCUCGAUUCUCGGGAGGGGAUGGACAUCAGAGCUGAUUAGCUCAUUCACCUUCCUAUAAUCGAUACAAAACCGUUUGGUUUUGUCGCGCUUAGUGACGAGGGUGACAGGGCUCGAGAAAGGUGAAAAAGAUUGUUCUAUGAUGCCGUUCUCCAGCAUUUGUUGUAUUUGGUUACGGAUUUCUUGUUGGUCACAUAUCGGAACACGAUAUGGACGUAUGGUGAUUAUUUUUUCGGAAUUCGUGGGUAUUUUUACUGGUGGAAUACGUAAGUAUGGUACGUUGAAUUUGUCCUGUGAAAAAAUGUGAGUGUACCUUUGUAGAAAUGUUGUGAACUGUGGUGUAUAAUGAGUGUUAGGUGUUGUGUUGUAGUAUGCAUGUGGUAAAGGGUUUUGUUGUGUAUUAGUGUGAGUGUCGAGUUCGUUGUGUGGGUUGGUCAUGUGAGAGUUGUGCAACGGUGUGUGAUCACCUAUGUUUUUGGUAUGCGAGUUGUCCCGCUGUGUGGGUGCGUUUUGGGCAGGUUCAUAAGUUGAAGUUGUUGUGGUUUGAUUAUUUGAGGGCAUGUAAAAAGGGCAAUUGGCUUUAGUGAAAAAGGGGCAUGUAGAUAAGUGGGGUUUUCUCAAUGAAUGCACGCAAUGGUUGUCAUAGGCGGAAAGUUGGGAUGUGGGGAAAAUUUUUUGUGACAUCGCCUGACACUGCCAGUACGUGCAUACAUUGGACACAUGAUUAAAAUGGUAGGAAAGGGUAGACAAUGGGGCGCCCAGCUGGAGUAUAGUGCAUUUAUUAAAAUCUAUGGUUAAUCUGAAUUUAUGGAGGCUAUUGAUACUAAGAAUUCCGAAUGGCAAUGGUGCAUUUACUACAUGGAAGUACUCCUUUCGUGAUAUUUGUCCUAUUGUCAGUGGGAUAGCUAGUUUACCCAUGGUUUUUGCAAAUCCGUUUAAGGUUUGGAGGUGUAGUGACUGUCCCUCAAGGGUUAAAUUAGGCAGGUGGGUUUUUAGCAUAUGAUAAAUACUAUAUGGCACUAUACUCAGGCUGGCGCCUGUAUCAAUUAAAAAGGGGCAUGAUACAUUAGGGGUUAGAAAAAGUUUGACAGUCAGUUGGUUUAGGGAUCCUACCUCAGUCUCGAAAGGGCUGCUCGGCUGGGAUGUCCCUGGCUUGACUUGGUUGUUGUGGAAUCGGGGCUGGUUGUUUUGGGACUGUUUGCACCGUCCGCACUUUUUCGUGGAUCGUCGGGACUGGUCGACGUCGGCAUUCGCUAUGCCAGUGUCUCGCGCCGCAGAACUUGCAAUUGGACGGCGGAAGAGGUGCAUUCCAUGCACCUGGGCGUCGGGGUGUGCUGUGGUACGGACCCGACAUUGUGGGUGGUUGAUCUUCUCUGGAUCGCGUUGCCGGUACACUGGGCCCGUGGAUCCGUUGUACCAGGCGGAACCAUUCUCCUAGGUUCUCGGGAGGUACUACGCGGACUAGGCGCUGGUCGUUGAAUGGCAGUCCUUCUGUCAGCGUCUCGAGGAUCACCUCUUGUGGAAGUCCUAGUUGCAAUCCCAUGGCGGUUUUCUCCCGGUAGUAGGUCUCUAAGUUGGCUUGUCCAGUGAGUUUCAUGGCGAAAUAUUUCGCAAAGGACGCUUCGCUUGACUCAGGGUAGAGAUCUAGGAGGAUUUGUCUCACCUGGAAAUAACUCCGGUCGGCCAGCCGAAGUUUCCUGAAGAGUUCCAGGGGUUGUCGCACCAGGUAGUUUGGUAGGCGCAGUAAUUUUUCUUGUUCCCCCAUGGAUGCGUCUUCCAUUUUUCGGUCGAACGUCUGGAAAAACUGUGUCGCGCUGUAUGUGCCGUCGAAAGGCGAGAUCGCCGAUUCCGCUCCAUCAGAAAUUUUUGCCCGGGCCAGGAACAUUGACAGCUGGUUGACGGCGUCCGCUAGGGGCGCAGUUGUCUCUCGGUCGGUCAUCUCCUGUCUUUCUCUUGUCGUUUCGUUCUCUCUUACUUCUUGCCUUCUUUCCAUUGUUUCCGUCGGACCGUCUGACUUUACGCCUAUGGGAUCCUGAUUUAAUUCCAUCUCACAAUCCUGUCGACUUAACCGUUCUGUGGCAAUAUCGUUGCGGGGUUUCUUAUUGUUGGAUGCGAAUGGUGAGAUUUGAUUGAAGCGCAGUCGUUUGAGUGGAAGUUGCAGCAUACAGUUAGGAAUAAUCAGGACACGCGAUGAGGUUUGAAAAUAAAAGGCAACUGGAUUGGAGGAAAGAAAGCUUGAGAAGAGCGGGGUGGUUUUGAUUGGUCCUUAACUAAUCACAUGGCGGUGAUUGUACUUAGCUGUGGGAUGAGCCGAGGGAGAGAGGUCUAGAGCCGAUGUCACCUCCUUGGGAGCCAAAGCGUAACUGACAUUUCUUGCUUUUCGAUUUAACACCAAGCUUCAGUUUCUCUCUGAUUGGUUGAGAUAUGAUCACAUGGUGUUUUCCUAUUGGUUGACCUACUUAGUGGUUCCUCCCUAAUUGGCCGGCGGCUCUCCUUGAUGAAAGAUGGCCUGCCUGGUAUAUCCGAUUUCGUCAGGAAGUAUUGGGUAUCUUGACGCUUAUAGCUUCGACGGAUAUUAGAUACGUCCUGUUUUUGCCGGAAGUAUUGAGUGCAUCUUGGCUAAAAUAACUUCUGCGGUCACUAGAGACGUCCGGUCUCUGCCCCUGCAAUGUUGACACAGGGGUGCCAAAAUAGUCGUGCCAGCUUUAGUCUUACUUCCUAUAUCUUUUGUUACUUUCUUUCCUCCAGUUACCUUGUUCUUUAUUAAGUCUUUGAAAAUCAUACAUGAUACAUACAUAGUGGGUCGGGGUUGCAUUUAAUUAUAUACAAAUUAUGACAUAUAUAUAUUAAGAAAAAGGCUUCUUCUUAUCGAGCAACUGAAAGUUGCUGAUGGCUUGCGCCAUCUAUCGGAAUAAAUAUCAACUAUUCUCGUUGAUUUUUAAUUAUUCCAGAAUUGGCCAAAUACCCAUUCUUGAUUAAUCUUGAUUAUGCACCUUAUCCCAGUACAAUAUUACAUUUGUACUAUUUUUUCAUAUAUAUAUAUUUGUUAGCUUUUGUAUUUAGGAAGAUCAUUUUUAGAAGUUAGUAGAUAGAUAUUUAAAUUUUUUCCACAAGUUGCAGCUUUGCAGGGUCGUCGACCUUGGUUUCCUCCUUCUUGAUGUUAUACACGUUUCCCGAGCGGGUUUCCAUACUUAAAGCUAAUAAUAAAAGUAAAUAAAUUACCUUUUAAAGUUAUUGUGUUUAUUUAUUCGUUGUCUUCCUCGUAGGUCGUGAUCUGCAGUCUUUUCCCAGGUCCUCUCCCGCUCCAAUAACCAAUCAAGAUAUAUGUACGAUAAAAUAUUACAAAAGGAAUGAAACUAUAAAAAGGAAUGAUGAUAAUCUA
rnacentral:piRNA from 1 species